UGGGGAAUUUUGGACAAUGGGCAAAGCCUGAUCCAGCAAUGCCGCGUGUGUGAAGAAGGCCUUCGGGUUGUAAAGCACUUUUGUCCGGAAAGAAAUCCUUGGCUCUAAUACAGUCGGGGGAUGACGGUACCGGAAGAAUAAGCACCGGCUAACUACGUGCCAGCAGCCGCGGUAAUACGUAGGGUGCAAGCGUUAAUCGGAAUUACUGGGCGUAAAGCGUGCGCAGGCGGUUUGCUAAGACCGAUGUGAAAUCCCCGGGCUCAACCUGGGAACUGCAUUGGUGACUGGCAGGCUAGAGUAUGGCAGAGGGGGGUAGAAUUCCACGUGUAGCAGUGAAAUGCGUAGAGAUGUGGAGGAAUACCGAUGGCGAAGGCAGCCCCCUGGGCCAAUACUGACGCUCAUGCACGAAAGCGUGGGGGAGCAAACAGGAUUAGAUACCCUGGUAGUCCACGCCCUAAACGAUGUCAACUAGUUGUUGGGGAUUCAUUCCUUAGUAACGUAGCUAACGCGUGAAGUUGACCGCCUGGGGAGUACGGUCGCAAGAUUAAAACUCAAAGGAAUUGACGGGGUCAUAGCUGUUUCC
rnacentral:rRNA from 1 species